AAUUUUGUAAGAAAUGGUCGGAAGGAAGCGUGGAGCAAAGUAAGGAGACGAUGAACAAGAACCGCAUACAAGGCUUAGCCUUAAGCCGAGUCAGCACAAGAUGACGAUGGCGUGUGAUUUAAGAGGCAGGGUAAAUGCGGCGUUUGUCUUACGAAAGUUAAUGUU
rfam:Euryarchaeota archaeon RBG_13_31_8 RBG_13_scaffold_397, whole genome shotgun sequence.